UUUAAAGGCCAAAGAAAAUGUGGGAAACACUGGGAUAGGCCAGCUACAUGAGUUACUUCCUUCAGAACUUCUCAGAUCCUUUAAUAUGCUACUCUGUGUAAUAAACUCCCAAGAGUUUACCCUAACCCUACUCAUCUUUCUCUUUUCACAGUGUGUGGAGGGUUCUAUGGAUCUCAUGGUGGAAAGUGCUGCUUUAGGACAAAGACAGUGGUCACAAGAUCAAAUAUAACUUAUCUGGAUAAUGUCCAAAGGUGUUUGGAGGCAGGAAGAUAACUGAAGAUGCUGAAGGGGUACUUGAGAAAGACAGGAGAUGAUGCCUCCCAUGGGAAACUCUCUGAAAAGGAAAAAGGAGAAAGCAACCUUUGGGGUUCAUCCUUUUAGAAGGAUGACAAAUGGGACCCAGCCAGCUGGAGGCUCUGAACCACGGCAAAUCCAUGUGACAUAUAAAGUCAAACAGAAAGAUUUUAUUUUAUAAUGUAUCCAUCUUGAUUUGGCAGAUUGGACUGGAUAUUGAUGGAAUAUACUAGAAAGCACCUCCAAACACAUCCCAUCUGUCCCAGUGGUG